GACAAUGCACCUAGUUACCCACGAGCUCUGACUGGAGGUGUACAAGGAGACUAACAUUGUUUUAAUGGGUGGUAAUGAGGGAAGAGAGAGUCCUUCUCACAUUGUUUUAUAUUGUGUUACACUCAGUACCUGUUCUACAAAAAAAACAAGGAAGUGAAACCAAAGGCAGGCAGCCAGGCGCCAGGCACCAGACCCAAAACCAGACCUGAAACCAGGCCUAGGCCUGCCUGGCCUAAACCUAGUAGUUAAAAAUCAACUCAUGACUUAGAAACCAAUGUUAUCCAUAGAUUCCAGAGAUUGUACAGAAAAACACUGUGAAACUCCCUGCUCUGUUCUGUUUCACUCUGACUACCAGUGCAUGAAACCCUUGUCACAUGUCCCCUAGAUUGCUCAAUCAAUCACGACCCUUUCAUGUGAAAUCUUUAGUGCUGUGAGCCCUUAAAAAGGACAGAGAUUGUGCACUCGGGGAGCUCGGAUUUUAAGACUGUAGCUUGCUGAUGCUCCCAGCUGAAUAAAGCCCUUCCUUCUACAACUCUGAGGGGUUUUGUCUGCGGCUCAUCCUGCUACAUUUCUUGGUUCCCUGACCGGGAAGCAAGGUGACUGAUGGAUGGCCGAGGCAGCCGCUUAGGCGGCUUAGGCCUGCCCUGUGGAGCAUCCCUGCGGGGGACUCUGGCCAGCCUGAGUGACGCCAUCCAAAGAGCACUCCUGGGUAGGCAAUUGUCCCGGUGGAACGCCUCGCCAGAGCAGCAGGUAGCAGGCCCCCGCGGAGGAUUAAUACAGUGGCUGAACACCGGGGAAGGAACCGGCACUUAGAGUCUGGACGUCUGAAACUUGGUCACUGUGUGUGGAUCAAGGACUAGAACAUGGCUCCUUUGCGGCCACAGUGAAGAGGACCCCAGACCGUCAUCCUGACCACUCCCACAGCUGUGAAGGUGGAAAGAAGCCCAGCCUGGAUUCACCACAGCCGCGUGAAGCCUGCAGCAGCUGAGACCUAAGAGGCCAAACUAAGCCUAGACAAGCCUGCAAAGUGACCCUGAGGAAAAUGACAAGCCCUGCUCCAGUCACACCUGGAAGGUGACUGGUCUACACACGGCCGAAGCAUGAGGAGAAUCGUCAUAGGACUUAUUUUCCUUAUAACAUGGACUUGUGUGGUAAAAGCAUCUACUGCUUCUUCCCACACAGAGGACUGCCUUCAGUGCAUACAUCAGGUCACUGAGGUAGGAAAACAAGCUAAGACAAUCUUUUUGUUUUAUAGUUAUUACGAAUGCCUAGGAAUUCUAAAAGGAACCUGUUCGUAUAAUAACACUCAGUACAAAGUGUGUAAUCCAGAAGUGACCAGCCCGAUAUGUGCCAUGACCCCUCUGAACCCCCCCAUGAUCACAGUCUUUGAAGUAAGACUACGGACUGGUCCUUUUCUAGGUGACACUAAUAAGGUAUUAGCUAGAACAGAAGAAAGAGAGGUCCGCAAAAAUGUAACCUUAAAAUUUGACGCUUGUGCUGCUAUUAAUAGUAAGCAGCAAGGAAUAAGAUGCAGUUCUCUAGAUUAGAAAAAAAAAGUUACAUAGCAGAAAAUAAGUAUAUCUGUCAAGAAUCAUAUUAAUGUAAGAUGUGUCAAUACUGGUCUUGUGUCAUUUAGGCUACUGUACUGAGAAAGAAGAUAAAAAAGAUCCUGUUUGGCUCUGAAAAAGAAAAGUCAGCCCCUACUGCAUGAGUAGGAUCUGCAACCCUUUAGAGUUAGUAAUCACAACCCCUCAGACCCAAAAGAGAAUAAAAGAAAACACGUAUCAUUAGGCAUUGAUAGGAAAAGACUCAAUCCUAGCGUAAGCAUCCUAAUAAAAGGAGAAGUUCUUUUUAUUUAAGGAAAGUAUGUCAGUACUUUAAGGAAAGUAUGUCAGGAGUCAGGAUUAAAAUAGAUACAAGUCCUUCCUAUGGUAUUGUUUAAAAUUAGGUGUACCCCCUCUAAGAAAACAAGAUACUGGUUCUGGAGAACCCGUAUUUCAGACUUUCUAUGACAAACUAAAUGUGCCAGUACCUGAGAGUCCAGGAAAAACUAAAAAUUUGUUUUUGCAAUUAGCUGAACUAAUGUAGCCCAGUCUCUAAAAGUCACUUCAUGUUAUGUUUGUGGAGGAACCAUACAGGAGAUCAAUGGCGAUAGGAAGCCCGAGAGUUAGUUCCUACAGACCCAGUUCCUAAUAAAUUCCUGGCCCAAAAGAACUACCCUGACAAUUUUUAGGUUCUAAAGGUCUCAAUUAUUAGACAGUAUUGCAUAGCUAGAGAAGGAAAAAGAUUCACUCAUCCUGCAGGGCUGUAGGACGGCUUAGUUGUCUUAGGCAAAAGCUGUAUAAUAGUACCACAAAAACAGUUAAUAGUGGAGUUUCAAUUACACAGAAAGAAAUCCAUUCAGUAAAUGUCCAAAGUUGCAGACUGUUUAGGCCCGCUCAGAAUUCCACCAGGACUAGACUGUCCCUACCGGAUUAUACUGAAUAUGUGGACAUAGAGCUUAAACUAAGCUGCUGGAUCAGUAGACAGGUAGCUGUGAAAUUGGCACCAUUAAACCAUCUUUCUUCUUACUUCCCAUAAAAACAGGCAAACUCCUAGGCUUCCCAGUCUAUGCUUCCCACAAAAAACAAAGCAUAGCCAUAGGUGAUUGGAAAGAUGAUGAAUGGCCCCCUGAAAGAAUCAUACAAUACUAUGGACCCGCCACUUAGGCACAAGAUAGCUCGUGAGGAUAUGGGACCCCCAUCUACGUGCUCAACUGAAUCAUACGGUUACAAGCUGUUUCAGAAAUUAUGACUAAUAAAACCGGUCAAGCCUUGACUGUUCUUGCCCAGCAAGAGACUCAGAUGAGAAAUGCUAUCUAUCAAAAUAUACUAGCUCUUGACUACUUGCUAGCAGCUGAAGGAGGAGUUUGUAGAAAAUGUAACCUUACUAAUUGUUGUCUACACAUAGAUGAUCAGAGGCAAGUAGUUGAAGAUAUAAAGAUAUAACAAAAUUGGCACAUGUACCCAUGCAAGUGUGGCACGGAUUUAAUCCAGGAGCCAUGUUAAGAAAUUGGUUCCCAUCAACAGGAGGAUUUAAAACCGUUAUAAUAGAAGUAAAAAUAGUAAUAAGAACCUGCUUACUGCCCCCUUGUUUUCUACCUGUACUUCUCCAAAUGAUAAAAAGCUUCAUCGCUACCUUAGUUCACCAGAAUGCUUCAGCACAAGCAUACUGUAUGAAUCACUAUCAAUCUAUUGCACAGGAAGACAUAAACAGUGAAAAUGAAAGUGAGAAUUCCCACUACUAAAAUGAGUGAAAGUCUCAAAGGGGGGAAAUGAGGGAAGAGAGAGACCUUCUCACAUUGUUUUAUAUUGUGUUAUACUCAGUACCUGUUCUACAAAAAAAACAAGGAAGUGAAACCAAAGGCAGGCAGCCUGACACCAGGCACCAGACCCGAAACCAGGACUGGGCCUGCCUGGCCUAAACCUAGUAGUUAAAAAUCAACUUAUAACUUAGAAACCAAUGUUAUCCAUGGAUUACAGACAUUGUAUAGAAAAACACUGUGAAACUUCCUGCUCUGUUCUGUAUCACUCUGACUACCAGUGCAUGAAACCCCUGUCACGUAUCCCCUAGAUUGCUCAAUCAAUCACGACCCUUUCAUGUGAAAUCUUUAGUGCUGUGAGCCCUUAAAAAGGACAGAGAUUGUGCACUUGGGGAGCUCGGAUUUUAAUACCGUAGCUUGCCGAUGCUCACAGCUGAAUAAAGCCCUUCCUUCUACAA